rnacentral:lncRNA from 1 species
UGACGUCUCGCCGGCUUAACCUGUUGCUCUCGAGACUGCGUCGGAGCCCGCAGGCAACGGGCUUGCAGCCGGACGCCCGGACUCGGAGACACGAUCCGCUGAACGCCCGCAAUAAGAAAGAAAACCCACCCCACGCUGCUCUCCACCGGAGGCGGGGUGCGGUUCUCGUCCAAGUUCUACCCCAUUUGCUUUGUGGCUGCAUCCGAAACGGACGUGCCCCGGGAAGGCGUCCACGCUCCAAGACAAGGUUGCCUCAGUGCAGUUUCUACAGCCCGAGUUUAAACUAGUCCUUUGCAUUCUACCCAGCCCUCUGCAAUGCGGAUGUAUUUUAAUUCUUAAAUUCUUUAUGGAACAG